rnacentral:lncRNA from 10 species
GGCCACCCAAGCCAGCAGUGGCAACCCGCUCGGGUCACCUUCGACACCGUGGAAGCUUUGUUCUUUCGUCCUUUGCAAUAAAUCUUGCUACUGCUCACUCUUUGGGUCCACACUGCUUUUAUGAGCUGUAACACUCACCUCGAAGGUCUGCAGCUUCACUCCUGAGCCAGUGAGACCACGAACCCCCUAGAAGGAAAAAACUCCGAACACAUCCAAACAUCAGAAGGAACAAACUCCAGACGUGCCACUUUAAGAGCUGUAACACUCACCGCGAGGGUCCGUGGCUUCAUUCUUGAAGUCAGUGAGACCAAGAACCCACCAAUUUCGGACACACUAGGCUCUGACAAGCAACUCUGCAAAGCAGAAGUGAUGCUUGAAACCACAGCAGCCAUUUUGGGGCCACGAGGCAAUAAGCACAAGGAUAAAAAGCCAAGAACCAAAGAUGGAGAAUCAAGGGUGUAAUGAACCUAGAUGAUAUGAUAUGACAGAGUCCUGAACUGCUAGACUUCUUACUAGGAGUCCCAGUGUCUCCUGAGGAAAUCCCUUUCCCAUUCAGCCGGCAGCUGCAGCAGGUGGGAUGGGCCAGACCAGCCCUCUGGGGAUGCUGAUCCCAGGGAGCAUCCAGGCCGGAAGGUCCAAACGGGCAAGUGACUCAUUUGCUUUUCCUCCCUUGGUCAUGUCUAUGACUCAUACACUUUCAUUCAGUCCCAAGUAUGAGAAAGGAACAUCAAAAAGUCCAAGAUGUUAUCAAAUAUUUGAUGAAAAAGAAAAUUCCCCUCUCAUAUGACCCUUACAGAAAAUGUUUAUUUAGUCUUUUCAUUUUGUUGACAUUUCUUUGAUUUAUCAACAUUGAGAAGGUACAGUGAGGAGAAGGAAGGCUGUUAAGUGAGACAAAGGAGGGUUAGGAUGGCUCAGUCAUUGCUCCCCCGAGGGAGUGAUCUAAGCUGCUCACCCACAGACAGAAAGGGUAAAUGGGCUAGCUCUUCAUUAAUAAGAAAGGACUCUUCGUUUGAGUAAGUGAGGAGUAUUUACAGUGCUGUGUUUGUAAUCACAUGGUGCCUGUGUAUAGAUGGCUGGGAGACAGGAUAAAGGGAUGGGUGAUUUAAAAGCAUCAACUUUGGUAUCAGAUGGAUCUGGAGUGGAAUUAUGGAUCUGUCACUUAUUAGCUGUGCAACCUUCAGCAAGAUCCUUGAGUGCUCUGAGACUUAGCUUUCAGAUCUAUAAAAUAACAAUUAUAAAAAAAUAGCAGCAAUGAUAAUGCCAACAUGUCUAUCAUUGAGCUUCUACUUUGUACCAGACAUUGAUCUAUGGAUUUUACAUAUAUUAUCUCAUUUUAUCUUUCCAACAAACCAAAAUAUGGGUAGUACUAUUGUCCGCAUUUUAUAGGUGUGGAAGCCGAGUCACUGAGGGCUGAAGGAACUUGCUCAAGGUCACGCAAUUAGAAAGGAGCAAAAUAUCUUCCUCCUCAGAUUGUUAUGAGGCUUACUCAAGGUAAAGCAGCUAAAGAGAUUAGUUCCCUGUAAAUGUACAACAGUAUAUAUGCUUACUUUUUCUUUUUCAAACUAAAGACAAGGAAGGGGGAAUUCCCUUUCUAAUUGUCCCAAUUGCUAUCUCCUUUUUUUUUUUUUUUU